GUGGGGAAUUUUGGACAAUGGGCGCAAGCCUGAUCCAGCCAUGCCGCGUGCAGGAUGAAGGCCUUCGGGUUGUAAACUGCUUUUGUACGGAACGAAAAGACUCUGGUUAAUACCUGGGGUCCAUGACGGUACCGUAAGAAUAAGCACCGGCUAACUACGUGCCAGCAGCCGCGGUAAUACGUAGGGUGCGCGCGUUAAUCGGAAUUACUGGGCGUAAAGCGUGCGCAGGCGGUUAUGUAAGACAGAUGUGAAAUCCCCGGGCUCAACCUGGGAACUGCAUUUGUGACUGCAAAGCUAGAGUACGGCAGAGGGGGAUGGAAUUCCGCGUGUAGCAGUGAAAUGCGUAGAUAUGCGGAGGAACACCGAUGGCGAAGGCAAUCCCCUGGGCCUGUACUGACGCUCAUGCACGAAAGCGUGGGGAGCAAACAGGAUUAGAAACCCGAGUAGUCC
rnacentral:rRNA from 1 species